UACAUUUUUCAUUAACUUCAUAUGUUUAGGAUUCAGAAAUGGUUGGUUACAAUAAUUGAUGAUGAUUAACGCUUGAUUCUCAUCAAAUUCAUUUUUCCAUAAACCAAACAAACCAAUUUAUUAGGGUUCCAAAUUUCUCAGCAUCACCUUCCUUGCUUUGCCUGCAAUGUCUGACACCGAAAAUCACGCGCAUCACGGUGCUUCUUCCCCCGACAAGCCAAGUUCCCGGGGAUCUGGUCACGAGAGCACGAGGAUGAGAAGGAGAGAUGGAGACAGGAAAAAUUUUCAUGACAACCGUGACCGUCACAGAGAUGAUAAAUACGAGGGUUUUAGAGGAAGAGGCAGAUAUGACAGUUAUAAUCGUCAACGCGGCCGUGAUUAUGAUAGGCAUAAUGACUAUGAUCGUGAUAGAGAUGCAAGACACAGAUAUGGGGCACAUUCAAAGAGAUCCAGGAGGGAAUCUAGAUCUAGAUCACGGUCCAGAUCCCCUUCUCAAUCAGAAGGAAAAAGGACCUCUGGUUUUGACAUGGCACCACCUGCUACGGGUGUAACACCAGCUGUUUCAGGGCAAAUGCCGGGGAUUGCUCAUACAAUUCAAGGAGCUACACAAAAUUUCUCACCAUAUGGGAUAUCACAGAUUGGAGCUCUUUCCUUAAUGCAAGUUCAACCUAUGACACAGCAGGCUACAAGGCACGCUCGGCGAGUGUACGUUGGUGGGCUCCCUCCUUUUGCUAACGAGCAGGCAAUUGCAUCUUUCUUUAGCCAUGUCAUGAUUGCUAUUGGGGGAAAUUCUGCUGGAUCAGGUGAUUCGGUUGUCAAUGUCUACAUUAAUCACGAGAAGAAAUUUGCGUUUGUGGAGAUGAGAACUGUUGAAGAAGCUAGCAAUGCAAUGGCUUUAGAUGGAAUAGUAUUUGAGGGUGUUUCUGUGAGAGUUCGUAGGCCAACUGACUAUAACCCUUCAUUAGCUGCAGUUCUAGGUCCUUGCCAGCCAAGUGCAAACCUCAACUUAUCUGCUGUUGGACUUUCUGCAGGUUCAAUUGGUGGAGCCGAGGGACUUGAUCGCAUCUUUGUGGGUGGGCUGCCAUACUACUUUACUGAAGCACAAAUGAGAGAAUUGCUUCAAGCUUUUGGCCCUCUCCGAAAUUUUGAUAUAGUUAGAGAUAAAGAAACGGGAAACUCUAAAGGAUAUGGUUUCUGCAUCUAUCAGGAUCCAGCAGUAACAGACAUUGCUUGUGCCUCUCUUAAUGGCCUUAAAAUGGGAGAUAAAACAUUGACUGUAAGGCGUGCUACCGUCAGUGGACAUUCUAAACCAGAAGAGGAUAACAUCUUUGCACGGGCACAACAGCAUAUAGCUAUGCAGAAAAUAGCGUUGGAAGUGGUUGGGCUAAAUAUUCCAGGGGUCGAAAGAGGCCCAACAAAUGAAGAAAGCCCCACUAAAGUUGUAUGUUUAACUCAGGCCGUCACUACCGAACAAUUAAAUGAUAAUGGGGAAUAUGAAGAAAUAUUGGAAGACAUGCGGGAUGAAUGCUGCAAAUUUGCUUGGUGCAGACAAGUAUUCAUGUCAGUUCAGUAUUUCAGUUAUGUAGUUAAUUCUCUCUCGGGACCUGUAGAAUGAGACUGUUAAUUCAGUAUGAUGGUUGUAAGUCACAAUUGCUGGAGAAGCUUGUCUUUCAGAUUAUCUUGAUGAACCAUUCCAAAGGGAAAUAGAGUAAAAAAGUUGUACCCUUAUAGGUGUUGUAGGAAGUGUUCUCAUCUACUGACUUUAUUUUUAUCAUUAUUAAAUGCAUCAAUAAGGCAAUAAUCAACAAAUGAAUGUUCUGGAAUUCCCGCUAAUGUCUUUGUUCAUGGAUUUCUGAUUUAUAUACUUUGUUCUUCUACCUUAUUGGAAUGUAUAGGGACGUUGGUGAAUGUUGUUAUUCCUCGUCCAAAUCCAAACGGAGAGCUGUCUGCAGGUAUUGGAAAGGUUUUCUUGGAAUACGCCGACUGUACUGCUUCUUUAGCUGCAAAAAAUGCUCUAAAUGGCAGGAAAUUUGGGGGUAAUAUU